UCCCGUGUGGCUCAGUUGGUAGAGCAUGGUGUUUGCAACGCCAUGGUUGUGGUUUCGAUUCCCACAGGGGAC
rnacentral:tRNA from 1 species